AAUCCUUUCUUGAUGACAACUUCAUACCAAACUCAGAGAAACUAUGUUGAAAUCUUUUUAACAUGCAUCACCAUCUGAUUAAAAAUUU
rfam:Drosophila sechellia strain Rob3c cont1.002292, whole genome shotgun sequence.